GACGAACGCUGGCGGCGUGCCUAAUACAUGCAAGUUGAGCGCUGAAGGUUGGUACUUGUACCAACUGGAUGAGCAGCGAACGGGUGAGUAACGCGUGGGGAAUCUGCCUUUGAGCGGGGGACAACAGUUGGAAACGAAUGCUAAUACCGCAUAAAAACUUUAAACACAAGUUUUAAGUUUGAAAGAUGCAAUUGCAUCACUCAAAGAUGAUCCCGCGUUGUAUUAGCUAGUUGGUGAGGUAAAGGCUCACCAAGGCGAUGAUACAUAGCCGACCUGAGAGGGUGAUCGGCCAAAUUGGGAAUGGGACACGGCCCCAAAUCCUACGGGAGGCAGCAGUAGGGAAUCUUCGGCAAUGGACGAAAGUCUGACCGAGCAACGCCGCGUGAGUGAAGAAGGUUUUCGGAUCGUAAAACUCUGUUGGUAGAGAAGAAAGUUGGUGAGAGUGGAAAGCUCAUCAAGUGACGGUAACUACCCAGAAAGGGACGGCUAACUACGUG
rnacentral:rRNA from 1 species